rnacentral:rRNA from 1 species
CAAUAGCGUAUACUAAAGUUGUUGCAGUUAAAAAGCUCGUAGUUGGAUUUCUGGUCGUGGGCAUCGGUCGACCCCUCACGGGGUCUGUACCUGGUGUCUGCAGCCUUCCUCGGGGAGAGCGCAUCUGACAUUAAAUUGCCGGGUGCGGGAUCCUCGUCAUUUACUGUGAGCAAAAUAGAGUGUUCAAAGCAGGCUUAGGCCGUUGAAUACAUUAGCAUGGAAUAAUAAGAUAAGACCUUGGUCUAUUUUGUUGGUUUGCGUCCAAGGUAAUGAUUAAUAGGGAUAGUUGGGGGUAUUCGUAUUCAAUUGUCAGAGGUGAAAUUCUUGGAUUUAUGGAAGACGAACUACUGCGAAAGCAUUUACCAAGGAUGUUUUCAUUAAUCAAGAACGAAAGUUAGGGGAU